rnacentral:rRNA from 1 species
UACGGAGGGGGCUAGCGUUGUUCGGUAUUACUGGGCGUAAAGCGCACGUAGGCGGUUUUGUAAGUUAGAGGUGAAAGCCCGGAGCUCAACUUCGGAAUUGCCUUUAAGACUGCAUCGCUUGAACGUGGGAGAGGUGAGUGGAAUUCCGAGUGUAGAAGUGAAAUUCGUAGAUAUUCGGAAGAACACCAGUGGCGAAGGCGGCUCACUGGACGACUGUUGACGCUUAGGUGCGAAAGCGUGGGGAGCAAACAGG